UAAGUUCUUCAGGGCAGGGUGAAAUUCCCUACCGGCGGUAAAGCCCGCGAGCAGUUCAUGUAUAUGGAUUGCAGAUUUGGUGAAGCUGAUAAUUGAUUAUCUAGCAAUUCCAAAGCCGACAGUAAAGUCUGGAUGGGAGAAGAAGCAG
rfam:Clostridium argentinense CDC 2741 T732.Contig249, whole genome shotgun sequence.